GUCACACAGCAGAUUAACUCCUAUUGAUUUAUCGAGAUUUACCUCAGCUAAGAAAACAGCUGGCACAGGGACAAAUACCAGAGUUUGGCAAGGCAUAAAUCCAUCAGAAGAAACCUGGCUCAUUUGUUWAAAAGGAUGCCUAUUGCGGAAUAGGUGGUUGGAGUCCGUUGGUCCCCAGUGGUGGCGAGUAUAUCCGUAGCUAGACUGCUGGUUAUGUAUCUGGUUGUGUAUAUUUUGAGACUCGUUAUCACUAUCAUCGCUAGCAUAGCGUUAGCCUACCUCAAUACAACGCAGAUUUGGCUUGGAAACAUGAUAACAUUUCAAAAGACGGUAAAUAAUUAGUAGGAAAACCUUUUGUCAUGAUUGUGAUGUCGCCAGAUUUACUUUAGAUGCAGUAUAACUUUAGACAGCUAACUAAGAUUGAAGAGACCACUAUAUUUUAGCAUGCUACCAUUAGCAUUACUAGCUAUUUUUGACAAACUUUGCUAGUAACAGUAAUGACAUCUCUCUAAAGUAAAUUUGACAACAUCAUAAUAUGGCAAAGUUGUUUCCUACAAAUUAUUUUCAUACUUUAGCAAUGUCAUCGUAUUUCCAUGCAUUUCUAAGUUAGUGUAAUUUAGAUGAAACAGCCACAUUAGCCUCCGAGGUGCAACCCAUGUCUAGGGGAAAAAUACAUAUUGUGGUACUAGACAACUCAUUUCUGACUACAGCAGUGUACAAACUAGCAGCAACAAACUCAAACCAACCCAGGGAUAUAGCAAAACAUGUCACAGUUGGUUGCAUAGUGUGAUAGCGUCAUCGGCCUGAAUCUAAUACAAUCAUGGGCCAGUCAGUCUACAUCUGUAAAACAUAGAAUUAGCUUCACAUCUGAAGUGAAAUAGAWAGGUGAAUGCAGGGAUCARGUUGGUUCCACCAAGCUAAUCAUAACCACCAUUGAUAAUGUAAUCAGUGUGUUUGUGUGUGAUCGAUCAGUAUCUUUUGAUAAGGGGUCAGAAGCUGAUCUACGCUACUAUGCCUGUCAAUGGGGCGCUGCAAAGACCUCACCUCCAGCCGCACUUCUUGUCUGCUUACCAGUGGUCGUACAUGGGGAGAACAGAUUUAGAAACAUGUAUGGAGUCAGUACAUGGAGACUUGCAAGAAUGAUGUGAUGAAGUCCAGACUGAUAAAUGGGCUUGAUACUGAUGUCCCUGAAUGAAGAGAGACCUGGCAUUAACAUUUUACUAUACACAACCUUUACUUGUAUUGUAUCAGUCAAUAUGGGGUGGGAGAAAACCUGUGUAUUCUGCACCAGGAUCAGGAAACUCCUGUAGUAUAUGGGACACCACUCAGGAAGGCAUGACCACUCUGACAUGUUUGCCAAGGYAGCCCCAUUUACCAGACAAAAUGCCGACAAGCACAGUAUCUGUAUUGGCUGGGAAUAACAAUGAAAGACAACUGCAAACUUCAAGGAGUUGGUCCAAUGGGAAGUCAUGAUGUCAUCGGCCUCCACCUUGCUCGAGGAACAACAGAAGAGCAAUAGAGAAGAAAAGAGGAAAGCCCCCCCAGGUCCUCAACCACCGGAUGUAGUAUCUCCUGUGAUCACCCCAGGCCUCGGAAGACCUCUUCAACUACAACAGGAAGCAGUCAUACGACCAGGUCACGACCCCUCUUAUAACACCAUGAGUCAAGCGGAGCCCACCCCGUGAGCCGCAGUGGAAGGUUCCGGUCUCACUGAGGAGCAAGGUGUGGAAGGAUUGUCAGGGGAGGAGAGGGAGACAUAGUCAGCGCAUCAGAAUGAGGAAAAGAAAGAGGGGGAAAGAAAGAAAGAGAGAGAGAGAGAGAGAGGAGGAGAGGAAACAUCUGUCAAAUAGCAGCCUGUAACAUCAUUACACACAAGGCCCACCGGCUCACCUAACGGCCACAGCUGGGUCUAAUACAGCCUCCAUCCACAGGGUAAACUACUGUGUGACCCGCCAUAGUCAGAACUAUGUACACAUCCAGCCAGGAGGCACCAGGGAGGGGAUGAUGGUGAUGCCUAAGCCCACAAUCGAGACUCAUUGGGGAAGUGUCUUUGACCGCACUUCAUCUUUUGCAUUUUUUUGUUUUUGAACAAGAGGAGAGAGGCAGUGACUGAGGAGUGUGAGAGAUAGAUACUGAGAGAGAGAGAGUAGUCUGCCGCAUGUGUUGGAUGUUAAUAAGAUUCAUUUAACUGUGUUUUCUUUUAACAAGCGAGAUUUACACUCUCAUUAAACUCUUCUAUAGAGAAYUGGUGAAUGAUA